rnacentral:lncRNA from 1 species
GAGAGAGCUGGUGAUACAAACGAGGAAGAGAAAAGACCAAAACACCCUCUCACCUACCCUGGUGUACCGGUACACGGGAUCGCGUACCGGUACCACAGCCAACCCGAGAGCAACCCGCGCGCGGCCCAGUGCAGUGUACCGGUACACCUUAAUGGCUGUACCGGUACAGCAAGCAGAAAAACUGCAGUUUGCAGAUUUUCUUCGCUGAAAGUUGCCCUCGCGUCGCACGGAGCCCGUUUUGCGUCUAUUUGACGCCAACGCGACUCGGACUUGUCCCGACACUCUCCAGAGCUGUCGACAAGCCUCCACAGUCAAACACCAGGGUCUCACAC